AUUGAACGCUGGCGGCAUGCCUUACACAUGCAAGUCGAACGGUAACGGGCCUUCGGGUGCCGACGAGUGGCGAACGGGUGAGUAGUACAUCGGAACGUGCCCGAUCGUGGGGGAUAACGAGGCGAAAGCUUUGCUAAUACCGCAUACGAUCUACGGAUGAAAGCAGGGGACCGCAAGGCCUUGCGCGGACGGAGCGGCCGAUGGCAGAUUAGGUAGUUGGUGGGAUAAAAGCUUACCAAGCCGACGAUCUGUAGCUGGUCUGAGAGGAUGAUCAGCCACACUGGGACUGAGACACGGCCCAGACUCCUACGGGAGGCAGCAGUGGGGAAUUUUGGACAAUGGGCGCAAGCCUGAUCCAGCCAUGCCGCGUGCAGGAUGAAGGCCUUUGGGUUGUAAACUGCUUUUGUACGGAACGAAAAGCCUUCUUUUAAUACAGGAGGGUCAUGACGGUACCGUAAGAAUAAGCACCGGCUAACUACGUG
rnacentral:rRNA from 1 species